rnacentral:rRNA from 1 species
UACGAAGGGUGCAAGCGUUACUCGGAAUUACUGGGCGUAAAGCGUGCGUAGGCGGUUCGUUAAGGCCGUUGUGAAAGCCCUGGGCUCAACCUGGGAAUGGCAGUGGAUACUGGCGAGCUAGAGUGUGAUAGAGGAUGGUGGAAUUCCCGGUGUAGCGGUGAAAUGCGUAGAGAUCGGGAGGAACACCAGUGGCGAAGGCGGCCAUCUGGAUCAACACUGACGCUGAGGCACGAAAGCGUGGGGAGCAAACAGG